rnacentral:rRNA from 1 species
AUGAACGCUGGCGGCGCGCCUAACACCUGCAAGUCGAACGAUUAAAGCCCCUUCGGGUGUGUAUAAAGUGGCGAACGGCUGAGUAACACGUGGGCAACCUGCCCCUUUCAUUGGGAUAGCCACGGGAAACCGUGGAAAAUACCGAAUACUUCGAGACUUCCGCAUGGAAGACUCGAGAAAGCUCCGGCGGAGAGGGAUGGGCCCGCGGCCUGUUAGCUUGUUCGUGGGGUAACGGCCUACCAAGGCAAUGGUGGGUAGCUGAGUUGAGAGACCGACCAGCCAGGUUGGGGCUGACACACGGCGCAGCCUCCGACGAGGGGCAGCGGUAGGGAAUCUUGCACAAUGGGCGACAGCCUGAUGCAGCGACGCCGCGUGCGGGAAAAAGGCCUUCUGGUGAUAAUCCGCUGUCAGCAGGGACGAGCCGAAAGUGACGGUACCUGCAGAAGAAGCCCUGGCUAACUACGUG